GGGAAGGUGGCUCAGUGGUAGAGCGCUUGCCUUGCAUGCAUGAGGCCCUGGGGUUCGAUUCCUCAGCAACCCCU
rfam:Dipodomys ordii contig_22374, whole genome shotgun sequence.